GUGAAAUUAUGUCAGAUGAACCUGGGGUGAGUGGAUUGCCGGUGUGUUCUCUGUCCCCCUCCCGCAGAGAGGAAGGAGAAUUGGAUUUGGACUCAGUUCACAUGUUGCUGCGUAGCUUCCAGCAAGAGCUCAGGGACACAGAGAGAGAGCGGGAUGAGGCACAAGCACAAGAUGAGGCGGUUCAGCGUGGGGAGUUACAGAAUAGGAUUAUGAGUGAAGAGCUGGCCAAAAUGAAGAACAGCCAACAGAUAACUGAGGCAGAGGCCAAAGCACUGCAGGAGAAGCUGGAGUGCUACCAGACCUCUGAGGAAAGUCUCGAAGUUGAGCGUCGCCGUAUGAAGGAGACCUGUGAGGCCACGGAAGCUCGAGCUGCCAAGCUGGAACUCACACGCGUGGGGUUGGGGGGAGAGCUGCAGCAUGCCCAGCUCUGAGCCACAGAGAUGGAGUCAGAGGUCAGCUCACUGCAGGAACGCCUUAACAAACUCCGCAGAGAACUGAGAGACAGUGAAGAGCGUGCUUCCCUCCUGAAGGUUGAGGGUGAGAGGUUGGCAACUGCCUUGGCACACACAGAACUGCAGGAGAGCCAGUUGAGGGAGCAACUGCAGGCCAUGGCUGCAUCCCUGACUGAAAGCAAUGCUGCUGCAGGAACAGCACAGGAUCAGGCUGCUCAGCUGCAGCAAGUUCUCACAGCCAGCGAACAUGACUGGAAGAUGCUGCAGUCACAGAUCUCUAUCUUGGAGCAGACUCACUCCCAGAGGCUCCUGGAAGUGAUGGCUCGCCACAGACAAGAGCUGGACCUGGAGACAGAGUGGAUGAAGGACUCCCAGCAACAGGCUGAGAGAGCACUGGAGGCCCAAGAGAAAGCUCACUGCGAGAGGGUCCACUGCUUGGAGGAACAGGUUUGAGAAAGCUAUAAAAAAAUGUGAUGUAUUGUAAUAGUGACAUCUACAUCACAUUCAACAGCUAGAAGCCUUUAAUAAAUACUUGACUGCUUUGCAAU
rnacentral:lncRNA from 1 species